rnacentral:rRNA from 1 species
CCUACGGGUGGCAGCAGUGAGGAAUAUUGGUCAAUGGGCGCGAGCCUGAACCAGCAAAGCAGCGUGAAGGAUGACUGCCCUACGGGUGGUAAACUUCUUUUAUAAAGGAAUAAAGUUAGGCACGUGUGCCUUUUUGUAUGUACGUUAUGAAUAAAGAUCGGCUCAGUCCGUGCCAGCAGCCGAGGUAAUACGGAGGAUACGAGCGUUAUCCGGAUUUAUUGGGUUUAAAGGGAGCGGAGAUGGGUUGUUAAGUCAGUUGUGAAAGUUUGCGGCUCAACCGUAAAAUUGCAAUUGAUACUGGCAGUCUUGAGUACAGUUGAGGUAGGCGGAAUUCGUGGUGUAGCGGUGAAAUGCUUAGAUAUAACGAAGAACUCCGAUUGCGAAGGCAGCUUACUAAUCUGCCACUGACAUUGAUGCUCGAAAGUGUGGGUAUCAAACAGGAUUAGAUACCCCAGUAGUC